UACACUCCUACGGGAGGCAGCAGUGGGGAAUAUUGGACAAUGGGCGCAAGCCUGAUCCAGCCAUGCCGCGUGAGUGAUGAAGGCCCUAGUGUUGUAAAGCUCUUUCACCGGUGAAGAUAAUGACGGUAACCGGAGAAGAAGCCCCGGCUAACUUCGUGCCAGCAGCCGCGGUAAUACGAAGGGGGCUAGCGUUGUUCGGAUUUACUGGGCGUAAAGCGCACGUAGGCGGACUAUUAAGUCAGGGGUGAAAUCCCGGGGCUCAACCCCGGAACUGCCUUUGAUACUGGUAGUCUUGAGUUCGAGAGAGGUGAGUGGAAUUCCGAGUGUAGAGGUGAAAUUCGUAGAUAUUCGGAGGAACACCAGUGGCGAAGGCGGCUCACUGGCUCGAUACUGACGCUGAGGUGCGAAAGCGUGGGGAGCAAACAGGAUUAGAUACCCUUGUAGUCCCAUGAU
rnacentral:rRNA from 1 species